CGUUUCUUAAAGGGGCAGAGCAUAAACAAAGUCAAUAACAGGCAGAAGGUCAUACACAGGCGAAAUCAACAUAUGUAAAGCACUCCUAACUACACAAAGCAACGGCAAUGAUCUGCCACAGGAUGGAGCCUUAAGUACACCACCCGAAACGUGCAGCCAACCUAUCCUAUUGCACAAGGCAGGAGCAGGCGUGGACAAGAUGUGAUCAUCCAGUGGCAAGCCGGAACGUGACACAUGCAGGCCUAAAGAACGGGGAGGAGACAAAAGACACCCAUCCCACCACCGACAUAGACACACGAAUGGCACAUAGAGCAAACAGAAAUACACUGGAGAACGUAACACAGAUAUGUAAUAUUCGAUCAUUUUCCUUAAUAAGCAAAUGAAAGUAUAAUAUUUUUGUCUCAUUUAUUUAAAUGGGUUCUGUUUGUCUACUUUUAGGACUUCUGAUGAUGUUUUAGGUCAUAUUUAUGAAGAUGUACAGAAAAUUCUAAAGGGUUCAGAAACUUUCAAGCACCAAUGUUCCCCUAGCUGACAGAAAUAUCUUCGCCCCAAUAGACACCUACCAGAGUUUAAACAGAGCAAGAAUGAUUACCUUUGCUCAGGAGCUUGUUGUUUUAGCCUUCUCAAAGGAAACUCUGAAAGAAUCCACUCUCAAAGGAAAGUUUGGCCAGAUGACCCACCAAAAAAGCAACUGGAUAAGGAAAAGAUGCCGUCAUGAUGGAACUUCUAGACACAACUCCAGCUGAUGAGUAUAAUUGCCUAUGGCACAAAUGUAACAACGAGCAAUUUGCAAAUAAAAGAAAGAUUUAAUUUAUGGAAUAUUUAAGUACUAUUUCAGUAACAUUUUUUUGUUGAAAAUCUUCUGUUGACCUGUUGUGAUUACUGUACAUGUACAAUACAGAGAAAUGUAUUGGAGGACUGUAUUGCUUGCAUAUUUAAUGCAUCUGCAUAUUUGUUGAGCCCAUAAAUGUUUUGGGUUUUUUUAUGGUGAAUGUGAGUCAUACAAAAAACUAUUAGAAUUCAUAAUCAUAAAGUAAACUAUUAAAAUAAUGAUUACUGUUACCUUUUCAGUAAUUUAAGCACAUUUUGAAAUGGUGAAAGAAAUUAUGAAAGAAAUUUAAAUACUAGGCACAUUGACAGAAGUUUUAUAUUUUAUUUUAUUUAGUGUAUUCCUAAUACACUCCAGUGCACCUAAUACACACUUCUCAUUAUGGGAAGACCACAAAGUAAUCACAAUCUUCUUUAUGCUGCACCUGCAUGGUGGUGCAGUGAGCAAAGAGAGUAUAUAACUGACCAAGAUUUGUAUCCAGAUGUUAAUCAUGUUUCUUGGAUCCACAACAAAUAAUGUCUCACAGUUGUUCCCAAGAAAAGUGAAUCACUGGUAUACUAGGGGGUUUCUAUGAAAUGUCAGUGGAAAGCAAAUGUUAAAUUCUGGUGUGUUGAUCACUGAAAGUGGAUUAUAAAUAUGACAGAAAUAUAACAUAAAUAUUAAUACAUUUCCAAUGCUCUCAAGGUAUUGAAAGGGCAGCCAUAGCAUGGAUGAGGUGUAUUUUAAUGUCACUUGAAAUUAAAUUAAAUUG